rnacentral:rRNA from 1 species
UAAGACGAACCGGUCGAACGUUAUUCGGAAUCACUGGGCUUAAAGGGUGCGUAGGCGGCUUGGAAAGUUGGGUGUGAAAUCCUGGGGCUCAACUCCAGAAUUGCGCUCAAAACUUCCAAGCUAGAGGAAAGUAGGGGUGAGCGGAACUGAUGGUGGAGCGGUGAAAUGCGUUGAUAUCAUCAGGAACACCUGUGGCGAAAGCGGCUCACUGGACUUUUUCUGACGCUGAGGCACGAAAGCUAGGGUAGCGAACAGGAUUAGAUACCCUGGUAGUCCUAGCUGUAAACGAUGAGCACUUGAUGGGAGAGGUCCUCAUGCCUUUCCGGCCGAAGCGAAAGUGUUAAGUGCUCCGCCUGGGGAGUAUGGUCGCAAGGCUG